rnacentral:misc_RNA from 1 species
AUAAUAGCGGGUCCUCUCGAAUUAGGAUGUCUGAACCCUUGAAUACAUAACUUUGUUGCUUUGGCGGGCCGCCUUCGGGCGUCGGCCUCGGCUGACAGCGCCCGUCAGGGGACCACAACUCUUUGUUUAGUGAUGUCUGAGUACUAUAAAAUAUUUA